AGGAAAUGUAAAGCCAAUAUGAAAGCUGCUAACUUUUAUAUUAGCGGUUAAACUCCGUUAACAUUUCUUA
rnacentral:tRNA from 1 species